rnacentral:misc_RNA from 1 species
UCGAUAACUAAGUAGAAGAAAAUUUCGAAAAAAAUUGUGUUUUUGCACUUGAUGUUGAACAACAUUAUCACCAAGUUUGAUCAAUUUCUUAAUAUUUAGACUUUUGUACCGAAACUCCUUAAGAGCUAAGCUGCAGAAGUCUUGGCCAAACUCCACUUCCGAAUAUAUCGUGACUUUUCAAAUAUCAUCGAUUUUCGAUUCAGCAACAUCGAAGUCUCUUAUUAACUCUACGUUGACGAUCAAUUUUUUUAUCUUUCGUCUAAUUGCUUUUGCGUACGCGCGGAGCUUGAGAAACUUUAUUGGUAAUUGGAGCUGUUGGAUGUGAUGGAGGGAGAGCCAAAUAAGCGAACCAUACACGAGUAUGGGUUAUGCAAAUUUAAACAUAGCUGCUUACAUUUUUUUCUUUCCCCUUGUUAUUCCGUCGUUUCCAAACGAUAUUCCCAUUCUUCUGUACAUACAUUUAUGAAUAUCUAUCAGGGUGUGCACAAAAACAGCGAUAUUUUUAUUGCUUGGAUCCACCAAAAAAUUCAUUCAUAAUUAGAAAAAAGCCUUGGCAAGAAGAGCUUGUAAUGAAAUUAUUUCAGUAAGCCCACUGCGUUUGGAGAUUUUCCAAAGGAAUAACCCAGAAAAAUAAUAGGACGUCUGAAAAUUGAUCCACGAUUCCGAAGUAGCCGUUUAUCGUUUUUUUAAAAACCACUCAACGGGGAUAAGGAUAACGAUGAGGAAGAAGACGGCGAUGGAGAGAAGGACAAGAGCGGGUACAGAGAUGAGGACGAGGACAAGGACGGAGACGAAAACGAGGACAACGACUGGAACAAGAUCGAGAAGGAAUACGUUGACAAGGACGCGUGCGAGCGACAAUGAGACAACGUUCAAAUAAUAAAUCGUCCAGGAUACACGUUUUUAUUAACAAUUUCCACAUUGUUGUUGAAACGGUUACCGAUCUACGAUGCUUUUUAUUAUAAAUAAAAAGAUCUCCGGCUUGUGAAGUCCUAAAAUAAGCUCAUUAAAAUACUUUGCUUUUGUCGCAAAUCUUCCGAAAUCUUCGUACCCUAGAAACAACAUACAACGAAUUCGUCAAUUAUAUUUUUGUUUCCAUUAUUCCUGAAACAAUGUUUGCUCCAUUUGGGCCGCCCGAACAGCGCUCCAGCAACGUAUAAUUGACUAUUGGGAGCCUCUGUCUUGUAAUAUGGUCAUGGUCAUCUUGGCGAAUCACCUGAGGGGCCUCGCACGGUCCUUAUUGUUAAGCUUCACUCGUACCUGACUCAUCGUACAGUGGUUCUCACAGUUUCACUUGGGCCCAUUCGUGAGGAUUCUUCCAUCGUCUUGCCUGGCCCAAAAGUUGUUAGUUUCUCAAUUUAUAAAUACAUCCAGAUAUACCGAAUGCACUGAUAUUUCGAUUAUGAAUUUGAUGUUGGCUCAAGACGAGUCAGAGCUUCGUUAGUCCCAGUAUAAUUGCACGAGGCCUUGGCAAUUUGCUUCGACCCACGUGUCAAAAGUUUAAUUUCAUUUAUUUUUGUCUUUCUGGAGAGCCAACGACGUGUCGAGCAACGUGGGGGAUGAAAGGAGCUUGACUGCGUCGAUUUUCGUUGGCGGUUGAGCGCGUUGCCCUCUUCCCAUGCGUACAUUCGGAUGGGCAUUUGCUGUCGAAUUGAU